rnacentral:rRNA from 1 species
AACGAACGCUGGCGGCAGGCCUAACACAUGCAAGUCGAACGCCGUAGCAAUACGGAGUGGCAGACGGGUGAGUAACACGUGGGAACGUACCCUUCGGUUCGGGAUAACUCAGGGAAACUUGAGCUAAUACCGGAUACGUCCGAGAGGAGAAAGAUUUAUCGCCGAGGGAUCGGCCCGCGUCUGAUUAGCUUGUUGGUGAGGUAACGGCUCACCAAGGCGACGAUCAGUAGCUGGUCUGAGAGGAUGAUCAGCCACAUUGGGACUGAGACACGGCCCAAACUCCUACGGGAGGCAGCAGUGGGGAAUAUUGGACAAUGGGCGCAAGCCUGAUCAGCCAUGCCGCGUGAGUGAUGAAGGCCCUAGGGUUGUAAAGCUCUUUUACCCGGGAAGAUAAUGACUGUACCGGGAGAAUAAGCCCCGGCUAACUUCGUGCCAGCCGCCGCCGU